rnacentral:rRNA from 1 species
CCGGAUUUACUGGGUGUAAAGGGAGCGUAGACGGCGAUGCAAGUGUGAAGUGAAAGGCGGGGGCCCAACCCCCGGACUGCUUUGGAAGCUGUAUGGCUGGAGUGCAGGAGGAGCAGGCGGAAUUCCUGGUGUAGCGGUGAAAUGCGUAGAUAUCAGGAGGAACACCGGUGGCGAAGGCGGCCUGCUGGACUGCGACUGACGUUGAGGCCCGAAAGCGUGGGGAGCAAACAGG